UACAGAGGUCUCAAGCGUUGUUCGGAUUCAUUGGGCGUAAAGGGUGCGUAGGUGGCGGGGUAAGUCUGGUGUGAAAUCUCGGGGCUCAACCCCGAAACUGCACUGGAUACUGCCUCGCUUGAGUACUGGAGAGGAGAUUGGAAUUUACGGUGUAGCAGUGAAAUGCGUAGAUAUCGUAAGGAAGACCAGUGGCGAAGGCGAAUCUCUGGACAGUUACUGACACUGAGGCACGAAGGCCAGGGGAGCGAACGGG
rnacentral:rRNA from 1 species